GGGGCUGAUUCUGGAUUCGACGGGAUUUGCGAAACCCAAGGUGCAUGCCGAGGGGCGGUUGGCCUCGUAAAAAGCCGCAAAAAAUAGUCGCAAACGACGAAAACUACGCUUUAGCAGCUUAAUAACCUGCCUAGAGCCCUCUCUCCCUAGCCUCCGCUCUUAGGACGGGGAUCAAGAGAGGUCAAACCCAAAAGAGAUCGCGUGGAAGCCCUGCCUGGGGUUGAAGCGUUAAAACUUAAUCAGGCUAGUUUGUUAGUGGCGUGUCCGUCCGCAGCUGGCAAGCGAAUGUAAAGACUGACUAAGCAUGUAGUACCGAGGAUGUAGGAAUUUCGGACGCGGGUUCAACUCCCGCCAGCUCCACCA
rnacentral:tmRNA from 1 species